rnacentral:rRNA from 1 species
UACGUAGGGUGCAAGCGUUAAUCGGAAUUACUGGGCGUAAAGCGUGCGCAGGCGGUUAUGUAAGACAGGUGUGAAAUCCCAGGGUUUAACCUUGGAACUGCAUUUGUGACUGCAUAGCUAGAGUACGGUAGAGGGGGAUGGAAUUCCGCGUGUAGCAGUGAAAUGCGUAGAUAUGCGGAGGAAUAUUGAUGGCGAAGGUAAUCCCCUGGACCUGUACUGACGCUCACGCACGAAAGCGUGGGGAGCAAAC